rnacentral:rRNA from 1 species
GGGCCCGCACAAGCGGUGGAGCAUGUGGUUUAAUUCGAUGAUACGCGAGGAACCUUACCAGGGCUUAAAUGCAGAACGACCGGCGUGGAAACAUGCCUUUCUUCGGACGGACUGCAAGGUGCUGCAUGGUCGUCGUCAGCUCGUGCCGUGAGGUGUCGGGUUAAGUCCCAUAACGAGCGCAACCCCUAUCUUUAGUUGCCAGCGGAUAAUGCCGGGGACUCUAGAGAAACUGCCAGCGUAAGCUGUGAGGAAGGUGGGGAUGACGUCAGAUCAUCACGGCCCUUACGUCCUGGGCUACACACGUGCUACAAUGGCAAGGACAAUGAGCUGCCAACCCGCGAGGGUGAGCAAAUCUUCAAACCUUGUCUCAGUUCGGAUCGGAGUCUGCAACUCGACUCCGUGAAGUUGGAAUCGCUAGUAAUCG